GUCGAAGUGGCGAAACUGGCAGACGCGCAAGGUUCAGAGCCUUGUCCCGAUUUUCGGGGUGAGAGUUCAAAUCUCUCCUUCGACA
rnacentral:tRNA from 1 species